rnacentral:misc_RNA from 1 species
UUGGACUACUAGGGUUUCUAAUCCUGUUUGCUCCCCACGCUUUCGCUCCUCAGCGUCAGGUAAGGCCCAGAGAACCGCCUUCGCCACUGGUGUUCCUCCUGAUAUCUGCGCAUUCCACCGCUACACCAGGAAUCCCAUUCUCCCCUACCUACCUCUAGUCCGCCCGUAUCGAAAGCAGUUCUGGGGUUAAGCCCCAGGAUUUCACUUCCGACGUGACGGACCGCCUACGAGCCCUUUACGCCCAAUAAUUCCGGACAACGCUUGCACCCUACGUAUUACCGCGGCGGCUGGCAC